rnacentral:lncRNA from 1 species
CGUACCGCCGCUGCCGCCGUCGUCGUCGCGGAGCCUGCGGAGGUCGACUACAGCUCGAGCUUCUCGUAAGUGUUCCCUAGCCUUGAGAGAGACUUUGAUCACUGUGAUCAGUGUAGAGCUUGUUCUGAUGGUUAGAAUUCGGAUCGGUGAUGACGGCCACAUGUGUGUUGGUGGAUGAUGCAGGGUGUUCCCGAUGGAGGCCUGCGACCUGCUCGGCGGCGACGCGUGCAUCGGGAAGAUGUUCCCGGAGGCCAAGCUCGCCGCGGCGGCGCCGGAGGCGAGCAGGAGGGUGGACGCGGUGGAGAGGGACUACCUGUCCUACGACGGGCCAAAAACGUAAGCAAGCACCCCGACUUUUAUCACCAUGCAUGCAUUCUUGCACUGACGAUUCAUCGAGCAAAUUAACCACACUCGCCGCCGUUCGGUGACUGACUGUGUAACCGUGUGGACUGAACUGCAGGGUGUUCCCGGGCGAGGCGUGCGACGACCUCGGCGGCGAGUUCUGCGAGGCGCCGUACAUGGACGGCGUCUCCAGGGACGCCUGAAGCCUCAAGACCUGACCUGAUCCAUCCAUGUCUGU